rfam:Oryza punctata chromosome 2, whole genome shotgun sequence.
AAAGAGUGUAGUUUUACACGGUUCAUAUUCAACAUUUGACUGUUCGUCUUAUUUGAAUUUUUUUUAUGAUUAAUAUUUUUAUUGUUAUUAGAUGAUAAACAUAAAUAGAAAUUUAUGUAAAUAAUUUUUAUAAUUUUUUCAUAAAAUUUUUAAAUAAAACGUACGAUCAAACGUUGGAUACAGAUAUCCACAACUGCACUAAAA